rnacentral:rRNA from 1 species
GAUGAACGCUGGCGGCGUGCCUAAUACAUGCAAGUCGAGCGAACGGACGAGAAGCUUGCUUUUCUGAUGUUAGCGGCGGACGGGUGAGUAACACGUGGAUAACCUACCUAUAAGACUGGGAUAACUUCGGGAAACCGGAGCUAAUACCGGAUAAUAUUUUGAACCGCAUGGUUCAAAAGUGAAAGACGGUCUUGCUGUCACUUAUAGAUGGAUCCGCGCUGCAUUAGCUAGUUGGUAAGGUGACGGCUUACCAAGGCAACGAUGCAUAGCCGACCUGAGAGGGUGAUCGGCCACACUGGAACUGAGACACGGUCCAGACUCCUACGGGAGGCAGCAGUAGGGAAUCUUACGCAAUGGGCGAAAGCCUGACGGAGCAAAGCCGCGUGAGUGAUGAAGGUCUUCGGAUCGUAAAACUCUGUUAUUAGGGAAGAACAUAUGUGUAAGUAACUGUGCACAUCUUGACGGUACCUAAUCAGAAAGCCACGGCUAACUACGUG